GAGCUCAGCCCAGUUCUUUUUGUUAAGAAGGCUAAGGCCACUGGUUACCAAGCAGCUUGUUUUAUGUGUCUGCAGUUAGCCUUUCUGUUUCCUUCUUCUUAGGCUAAAACUGGGUUCUGGACAUCUGCACAACCGGCACAAGGACAUUACAUUCAAACUCAGAGGAUUCAUAUUUUAGGUCUGCAAUGAGAAAUCUUCCUGAAAUUCAGGGCCUCCUGAUGCUCUGGAGACUGAACUGAUGUUUGUCAAGAUUGGAAAGUAUCAUUCUGGGACGUACAAGAACCACAAACCUCAUGACUUCAGACCACUUGAUGAGGAGCUUCCAGACAUGAUAACUGCACAUGAGAGAGAUCCUGGCAACUUGAAGUUAAAAUUAAAGCAUUUGGACACUUUGAAGAUCAGGUCUGAGACAGAUUUUAGUUUACGAGACACCAAGACACGGAUGGAUACCUAUAAACCUGCAGAACCAAAAUGGGAUGCCCAACUGUUUCUCCCUCCACUGCCCUGGCCUCCAAAAUCAGCUUCCUACACUAGACACAAACAAAGAAGAGAAGCGUACAGUGCUUUCCUCGACCGUGUGGAAGAGAAACUUGGGAGAACCUGGAAAAAUAAACCGUGACUCUCUGUCGUCCUUUAGCCCUGUAGCUCUGAGGUUUUGAGACUUCUACAUCAUCAGUGUGAUUUUACUUUUUACAAUACAUUUUUAAGCAAUUAACUACACACAAAAGCCAGAUGUAGCAAAUGUUAUGUUUUCCUAUUUACUUAUCAGAAGGUUUAAUAAACAUUUGAAUAAACAAACCAGUUUCAAAAAGUUUGAAUUUUCUUGCAAUGAUUUCAUGGUUUAGGCUUCACAGGUUUCAACACAUUUGCUUCUUUCUCUAAAUCCUCCCUCGGUCAUGCUGCAAUAGACUUCGGCUGCUGGGGGCUUGCCAUGAUGCACUGAGUCUUUAACCUUCUCUCACCCUUUUUCCC
ensembl:lncRNA